UCAACCCAUUAAAAAUAUCUUAGAUACUAACAUAAAACUUGAAAUUGAGCAAAAUAGGAAAAUUCUUAAACAAAUUGUUGAUACAGUUCUUUUUUGUGGAAGGCUUGGCAUUGGAUUACGAGGUCAUCGUGAUGAUGCUCAAUUUCACCCAGAGGUACACUACCAAUCACCUCAUGUGAAUGUGAGAGAUCAAUUUCAGCACUGAGGAAUCUAAAAACCUACCAAAUGAGCACUAUGGUAGAGGAACGUUUAAAUGGCCUGGCUUUAAUGCGAAUUCACCCAGAAAUUAUUCCUGACAUAGAAAGAGUGAUCAAUAAGUUUGCUGAAGGUAAUACACGUUUGAAAUUUG